rnacentral:rRNA from 1 species
CCCUUAGUUGUUCUGGGCCGCACGCGCGCUACACUGAUGCAUUCAACGAGUCUAAAACCUGGUCUGAUAGGGCUGGGUAAUCUUUUGAAUGUGCAUCGUGAUUGGGAUAGAUGAUUGCAAUUCUUCAUCUUCAACGAGGAAUGCCUAGUAAACGCAAGUCAUCAGCUUGCAUUGAUUACGUCCCUGCCCUUUGUACACACCGCCCGUCGCUCCUACCGAUUGAAUGUUCCGAUGAAUACCAUGGACUGAGAGUAUGAAUGGGUUCGCCUAUUUCUGCUUCUCGGGAAGUGGAGUAAAUCUUAACAUUUAGAGGAAGGAGAAGUCGUAACA